CGGACGGGUGAGUAAUGCUUGGGAAUCUGGCUUAUGGAGGGGGAUAACGACGGGAAACGGUCGCUAAUACCGCGUAGAGUCGAGAGACGAAAGUGCGGGACCGCAAGGCCGCAUGCCAUGAGAUGAGCCCAAGUGGGAUUAGGUAGUUGGUAGGGUAAAGGCCUACCAAGCCGACGAUCUCUAGCUGGUCUGAGAGGAUGACCAGCCACACCGGGACUGAGACACGGCCCGG
rnacentral:rRNA from 1 species